rnacentral:rRNA from 1 species
UACGUAGGGUGCAAGCGUUAAUCGGAAUUACUGGGCGUAAAGCGUGCGCAGGCGGUUAUGUAAGACAGAUGUGAAAUGCCCGGGCUUAACCUGGGAACUGCAUUUGUGACUGCAUGGCUAGAAUCUGGCAGAGGGGGGUAGAAUUCCACGUGUAGCAGUGAAAUGCGUAGAUAUGUGGAGGAACACCGGAUGGCUGAAGGCAGCCCCCUGGGUCAAGAUUGACGCUCGAUGCACGAAAGCGUGGGGAGCAAACAGG